GACGAACGCUGGCGGCGUGGAUUAGGCAUGCAAGUCGAACGGUAGGAUACCUUCGGGUAUCUGAGAGUGGCGAACGGGUGAGUAACACGUAGGUGAUCUACCCUCAAGAUUGGGACAACCCAGGGAAACUUGGGCUAAUACCGGAUGAAAGCAGCAGUGAUGUUGUUUGAAAGGUGGCGUAAGCUGCCGUUUGGGAUGAGCCUGCGCUCUAUUAGUUAGUUGGCGGGGUAAAGGCCCACCAAGGCGAUGAUAGAUAGGCGGCCUUAACGGGUGGUCGCCCACACUGGGAUUGAGAUACGGCCCAGACUCCUACGGGAGGCAGCAGUCGAGAAUAGUCUACAAUGGCCGAAAGGCUGAUAGUGCGACGCCGCGUGAACGAAGAAGCCCUUCGGGGUGUAAAGUUCUUUUAUAUGUGAGCAGUGCUUUCUAUGUGAACAGCAUGGGGAGAGAGAUAUUAGCAUAUGAAUAAGCAACGGCUAACUCCGUG
rnacentral:rRNA from 1 species